rnacentral:rRNA from 1 species
GAGUUCUCGUUGAUGAUCGGUGCUUGCACCGAGAUUCAACAUGGAACGAGUGGCGGACGGGUGAGUAACACGUGGGUAACCUGCCCUUAAGUGGGGGAUAACAUUUGGAAACAGAUGCUAAUACCGCAUAGAUCCAAGAACCGCAUGGUUCUUGGCUGAAAGAUGGCGUAAGCUAUCGCUUUUGGAUGGACCCGCGGCGUAUUAGCUAGUUGGUGAGGUAACGGCUCACCAAGGCGAUGAUACGUAGCCGAACUGAGAGGUUGAUCGGCCACAUUGGGACUGAGACACGGCCCAAACUCCUACGGGAGGCAGCAGUAGGGAAUCUUCCACAAUGGACGCAAGUCUGAUGGAGCAACGCCGCGUGAGUGAAGAAGGCUUUCGGGUCGUAAAACUCUGUUGUUGGAGAAGAAUGGUCGGCAGAGUAACUGUUGUCGGCGUGACGGUAUCCAACCAGAAAGCCACGGCUAACUACGUGCCAGCAGCCGCGGUAAUACGUAGGUGGCAAGCGUUAUCCGGAUUUAUUGGGCGUAAAGCGAGCGCAGGCGGUUUUUUAAGUCUGAUGUGAAAGCCCUCGGCUUAACCGAGGAAGCGCAUCGGAAACUGGGAAACUUGAGUGCAGAAGAGGACAGUGGAACUCCAUGUGUAGCGGUGAAAUGCGUAGAUAUAUGGAAGAACACCAGUGGCGAAGGCGGCUGUCUGGUCUGUAACUGACGCUGAGGCUCGAAAGCAUGGGUAGCGA